GACGAACGCUGGCGGCGUGCUUAACACAUGCAAGUCGAACGGAGUGGCGAACGGGUGAGUAACACGUGGGUGACCUGCCCUGCACUUCGGGGUAAGACCGUGGAAAAGGGGGUAAUACCGGCGAGUGGGGGAUGGGCCCGCGGCCUAUCGGCUUGUUGGUGGGGUAAUGGCCUACCAAGGAGGCGACGGGUAGCCGGCCGGAGAGGGUGGACGGCCACAUUGGGACUGAGACACGGCCCAGACUCCUACGGGAGGCAGCAGUGGGGAAUAUUGCACAAUGGGCGGAAGCCUGAUGCAGCGACGCCGCGUGGGGGAUGACGGCCUUCGGGUUGUAAACUCCUUUCACCAUCGACGCGGUAGAUGGAGAAGAAGCACCGGCUAACUACGUGCCAGCCACCGCGGUAAUAC
rnacentral:rRNA from 1 species